AUUGAACGCUGGCGGCAGGCCUAACACAUGCAAGUCGAGCGGAUGAAGGGAGCUUGCUCCUGGAUUCAGCGGCGGACGGGUGAGUAAUGCCUAGGAAUCUGCCUGGUAGUGGGGGAUAACGUCCGGAAACGGGCGCUAAUACCACAUACGUCCUGAGGGAGAAAGUGGGGGAUCUUCGGACCUCACGCUAUCAGAUGAGCCUAGGUCGGAUUAGCUAGUUGGUGGGGUAAAGGCCUACCAGGGCGACGAUCCGUAACUGGUCUGAGAGGAUGAUCAGUCACACUGGAACUGAGACACGGUCCAGACUCCUACGGGAGGCAGCAGUGGGGAAUAUUGGACCAUGGGCGAAAGCCUGAUCCAGCCAUGCCGCGUGUGUGAAGAAGGUCUUCGGAUUGUAAAGCACUUUAAGUUGGGAGGAAGGGCAGUAAGUUAAUACCUUGCUGUUUUGACGUUACCAACAGAAUAAGCACCGGCUAACUUCGUG
rnacentral:rRNA from 1 species